rnacentral:rRNA from 1 species
GACGAACGCUGGCGGCGUGCUUAACACAUGCAAGUCGAACGAAGAGCGAUGGAAGCUUGCUUCUAUCAAUCUUAGUGGCGAACGGGUGAGUAACGCGUAAUCAACCUGCCCUUCAGAGGGGGACAACAGUUGGAAACGACUGCUAAUACCGCAUACGAUCUAAUCUCGGUAUCGAGGAUAGAUGAAAGGUGGCCUCUACAUGUAAGCUAUCACUGAAGGAGGGGAUUGCGUCUGAUUAGCUAGUUGGAGGGGUAACGGCCCACCAAGGCGAUGAUCAGUAGCCGGUCUGAGAGGAUGAACGGCCACAUUGGGACUGAGACACGGCCCAGACUCCUACGGGAGGAAGCAGUGGGGAAUCUUCCGCAAUGGACGAAAGUCUGACGGAGCAACGCCGCGUGAGUGAUGACGGCCUUCGGGUUGUAAAGCUCUGUUAAUCGGGACGAAAGGCCUUCUUGCGAAUAGGGAGAAGGAUUGACGGUACCGGAAUAGAAAGCCACGGCUAACUACGUG